GCAUCAAACUCCAGAAAGUAAGUAUUUCUAUUAAUAUUUUAAGUUCUAUUCAUUUGAGACAGUUCUUGAUACCUAUCUUUUUUUAGUCAAAGUACUGACAGAUUGCUCUAAACAUUUAAUAAGCAAUCUUCACAAAUCCCAAAAACAUUACUUCAUGCAGUGUAAUGAAUUCUUUAGAUCAAGAAGAAACUAUUGCAGAAAUAGCCUUGUUUUGGACCAAGUGUAAAAUAGUAAAUAUAUCAAAGGAAUUGAAACUCAGAUUUCUUAAGGUUUGUUAUAGCAAUACUUGUGAAAUAAGAAAAAAAAAUUGAAAUCCUUAAUUUUGAAAUAAAAGAUAUAAGUGUUAAUUAUACUUAAAAGGUUAUAAUUUUGUAGAAUGAGGAUGAUCUUGAAGUUGUGGACAAAGAUAUAUCAAGUGCUGGGUUUGAUUCUUUAUUAAAAAAAAUGAUGUUGAGAGUUGGACACAAGAUUUAAAAAUGGAAGCUGCUAGUAAUUCUUCUUCAAACUCUCUUGAUUGGAAUGCGGUCCCUUUCCCUACUUGGAACUCAUUGUCCCCAAUAAUAUCCGGUCCUAAUGUCUUGUUUAGCUGUUAGGUCUAUAACCAUCUGAGGGUCUUCCUCUUGGCCUCAUAUUAAAUAUAUCUUGUUUCCACCUUCUUUCACUUCAUUAUUUUGUGAACUCAGGAUUCUUGUCGAAAAUCAUCACUAAAAAGUUGUCAGAAAUGGAAAAAUUCGUGUUGCUGCUACACGAUUUUCAAGAUUUGUCAUGCGCAGCUCAUGUAAUCAAUUUAUUGAAUGGAUUGAAGUUCCCAACAGUUAUCAGUUAUAAUUAUUUCUACCGAUCUUUGGAAUUUGGAAAUGAUGAAAAGCAAGAAGAACUGGAAUUAAUUUUAUUAAUAAAGCCAUCGCUGCAGUCGACGCAGUUGUCACAUUCACGACUAAAAAAGGAUGGAAACCAACAUGCAAGAACAAAUUAGAACAAGCAUUUGCUGAAAAAGUUGCAUGGGCGACUCAAAUAAAGAAAGUUGCAAGUACAUAGCUUGUUGUUUUAUUAAUAAUCUUUCAAAAUAGUACUAGAUUUUUAUUCGUGCUUAGUACAACUACAACAAAUGUUACAUUAUCACUUAUCGUUAACCAUUCCCCUUGUUAAGUCGUGCUAGUGAUGUGAAUCUUUUCUGAAAAAAAGCCAUUAUGCUUAAAUAUUUUAGAUAGUGGCAAAAGACGUCAUGUUCUUCGGACGAAACAUGCUGUCUCUUCAAAAACGUUAAAAGAUUUGUGCAGUGAUUAUUGUGAUUUAUUUGGGAUUAACAAUCAAACAAAUUUGUACAGUGCAUGUGAUACUGUUUUCUUGGAAAAGUAGCUCUUUCACAAAUGACAACGGAAGGUCUACAGCUGUCGAUCGUCGAUUAUACGCGGAAUUAUAUCUGAGAAUGUGUAAUUUGAUUGAAGAGCGGGAAUUACUGUUGCCAGAUAUGAAAAGUUGCUUACAGUUUUAUUGCAAGAAAUAUUGAAACUUAAAUUGACUGCAGCGCUGUUUAAAAAGUCUUUAUGAUACCCGUAUUGAAAAAUCAAGUGAAGAUGACAUUGUAGAAA